rnacentral:rRNA from 1 species
AUACGGAGGGUGCAAGCGUUAAUCGGAAUUACUGGGCGUAAAGGGUUCGUAGGCGGUUAUUUAAGUCAGAUGUGAAAGCCCCGGGCUCAACCUGGGAAUUGCAUCUGAUACUGGGUAACUAGAGUUUAAGAGAGGAGUGUGGAAUUUCCGGUGUAGCGGUGAAAUGCAUAGAGAUCGGAAGGAACAUCAGUGGCGAAGGCGGCACUCUGGCUUAAAACUGACGCUGAGGAACGAAAGCGUGGGUAGCAAACAGGAUUAGAAACCCUUGUAGUCC